GGUUAAGCGACUAAGCGUACACGGUGGAUGCCCUGGCAGUCAGAGGCGAUGAAGGACGUGCUAAUCUGCGAUAAGCGUCGGUAAGGUGAUAUGAACCGUUAUAACCGGCGAUUUCCGAAUGGGGAAACCCAGUGUGUUUCGACACACUAUCAUUAACUGAAUCCAUAGGUUAAUGAGGCGAACCGGGGGAACUGAAACAUCUAAGUACCCCGAGGAAAAGAAAUCAACCGAGAUUCCCCCAGUAGCGGCGAGCGAACGGGGAGCAGCCCAGAGCCUGAAUCAGUAUGUGUGUUAGUGGAAGCGUCUGGAAAGGCGCGCGAUACAGGGUGACAGCCCCGUACACAAAAAUGCACAUAUUGUGAGCUCGAUGAGUAGGGCGGGACACGUGGUAUCCUGUCUGAAUAUGGGGGGACCAUCCUCCAAGGCUAAAUACUCCUGACUGACCGAUAGUGAACCAGUACCGUGAGGGAAAGGCGAAAAGAACCCCGGCGAGGGGAGUGAAAAAGAACCUGAAACCGUGUACGUACAAGCAGUGGGAGCACGCUUAGGCGUGUGACUGCGUACCUUUUGUAUAAUGGGUCAGCGACUUAUAUUCUGUAGCAAGGUUAACCGAAUAGGGGAGCCGAAGGGAAACCGAGUCUUAACUGGGCGUUAAGUUGCAGGGUAUAGACCCGAAACCCGGUGAUCUAGCCAUGGGCAGGUUGAAGGUUGGGUAACACUAACUGGAGGACCGAACCGACUAAUGUUGAAAAAUUAGCGGAUGACUUGUGGCUGGGGGUGAAAGGCCAAUCAAACCGGGAGAUAGCUGGUUCUCCCCGAAAGCUAUUUAGGUAGCGCCUCGUGAAUUCAUCUCCGGGGGUAGAGCACUGUUUCGGCAAGGGGGUCAUCCCGACUUACCAACCCGAUGCAAACUGCGAAUACCGGAGAAUGUUAUCACGGGAGACACACGGCGGGUGCUAACGUCCGUCGUGAAGAGGGAAACAACCCAGACCGCCAGCUAAGGUCCCAAAGUCAUGGUUAAGUGGGAAACGAUGUGGGAAGGCCCAGACAGCCAGGAUGUUGGCUUAGAAGCAGCCAUCAUUUAAAGAAAGCGUAAUAGCUCACUGGUCGAGUCGGCCUGCGCGGAAGAUGUAACGGGGCUAAACCAUGCACCGAAGCUGCGGCAGCGACGCUGAUGCGUUGUUGGGUAGGGGAGCGUUCUGUAAGCCUGCGAAGGUGUGCUGUGAGGCAUGCUGGAGGUAUCAGAAGUGCGAAUGCUGACAUAAGUAACGAUAAAGCGGGUGAAAAGCCCGCUCGCCGGAAGACCAAGGGUUCCUGUCCAACGUUAAUCGGGGCAGGGUGAGUCGACCCCUAAGGCGAGGCCGAAAGGCGUAGUCGAUGGGAAACAGGUUAAUAUUCCUGUACUUGGUGUUACUGCGAAGGGGGGACGGAGAAGGCUAUGUUGGCCGGGCGACGGUUGUCCCGGUUUAAGCGUGUAGGCUGGUUUUCCAGGCAAAUCCGGAAAAUCAAGGCUGAGGCGUGAUGACGAGGCACUACGGUGCUGAAGCAACAAAUGCCCUGCUUCCAGGAAAAGCCUCUAAGCAUCAGGUAACAUCAAAUCGUACCCCAAACCGACACAGGUGGUCAGGUAGAGAAUACCAAGGCGCUUGAGAGAACUCGGGUGAAGGAACUAGGCAAAAUGGUGCCGUAACUUCGGGAGAAGGCACGCUGAUAUGUAGGUGAGGUCCCUCGCGGAUGGAGCUGAAAUCAGUCGAAGAUACCAGCUGGCUGCAACUGUUUAUUAAAAACACAGCACUGUGCAAACACGAAAGUGGACGUAUACGGUGUGACGCCUGCCCGGUGCCGGAAGGUUAAUUGAUGGGGUUAGCGCAAGCGAAGCUCUUGAUCGAAGCCCCGGUAAACGGCGGCCGUAACUAUAACGGUCCUAAGGUAGCGAAAUUCCUUGUCGGGUAAGUUCCGACCUGCACGAAUGGCGUAAUGAUGGCCAGGCUGUCUCCACCCGAGACUCAGUGAAAUUGAACUCGCUGUGAAGAUGCAGUGUACCCGCGGCAAGACGGAAAGACCCCGUGAACCUUUACUAUAGCUUGACACUGAACAUUGAGCCUUGAUGUGUAGGAUAGGUGGGAGGCUUAGAAGUGUGGACGCCAGUCUGCAUGGAGCCGACCUUGAAAUACCACCCUUUAAUGUUUGAUGUUCUAACGUUGACCCGUAAUCCGGGUUGCGGACAGUGUCUGGUGGGUAGUUUGACUGGGGCGGUCUCCUCCUAAAGAGUAACGGAGGAGCACGAAGGUUGGCUAAUCCUGGUCGGACAUCAGGAGGUUAGUGCAAUGGCAUAAGCCAGCUUGACUGCGAGCGUGACGGCGCGAGCAGGUGCGAAAGCAGGUCAUAGUGAUCCGGUGGUUCUGAAUGGAAGGGCCAUCGCUCAACGGAUAAAAGGUACUCCGGGGAUAACAGGCUGAUACCGCCCAAGAGUUCAUAUCGACGGCGGUGUUUGGCACCUCGAUGUCGGCUCAUCACAUCCUGGGGCUGAAGUAGGUCCCAAGGGUAUGGCUGUUCGCCAUUUAAAGUGGUACGCGAGCUGGGUUUAGAACGUCGUGAGACAGUUCGGUCCCUAUCUGCCGUGGGCGCUGGAGAACUGAGGGGGGCUGCUCCUAGUACGAGAGGACCGGAGUGGACGCAUCACUGGUGUUCGGGUUGUCAUGCCAAUGGCACUGCCCGGUAGCUAAAUGCGGAAGAGAUAAGUGCUGAAAGCAUCUAAGCACGAAACUUGCUCCGAGAUGAGUUCUCCCUGACCCUUUAAGGGUCCUGAAGGAACGUUGAAGACGACGACGUUGAUAGGCCGGGUGUGUAAGCGCAGCGAUGCGUUGAGCUAACCGGUACUAAUGAACCGUGAGGCUUAACCUU
rnacentral:rRNA from 1 species